GUGGGGAAUAUUGGACAAUGGGCGCAAGCCUGAUCCAGCCAUGCCGCGUGAGUGAUGAAGGCCUUAGGGUUGUAAAGCUCUUUUGUCCGGGAAGAUAAUGACUGUACCGGAAGAAUAAGCCCCGGCUAACUUCGUGCCAGCAGCCGCGGUAAUACGAAGGGGGCUAGCGUUGUUCGGAAUCACUGGGCGUAAAGCGCACGUAGGCGGACCAUUAAGUCAGGGGUGAAAGCCUGGAGCUCAACUCCAGAACUGCCUUUGAUACUGAUGGUCUAGAGUAUGGAAGAGGUUGGUGGAACUGCGAGUGUAGAGGUGAAAUUCGUAGAUAUUCGCAAGAACACCGGUGGCGAAGGCGGCCAACUGGUCCAUUACUGACGCUGAGGUGCGAAAGCGUGGGGAGCAAACAGGAUUAGAAACCCGAGUAGUCC
rnacentral:rRNA from 1 species